AGUCGACGAGACGCUAAUUUAUUUAGUUGAAAGUGGCGGACGAGCGAGUAACACGUAAGCAUCUGCCCCGUACUCAGGGAUAACAUCAUGAAAGUGGUGCUAAUACCGGAUGGUCCCGCAAGGGUAAAGAUUUAUCGGUACGGGAGGAGCUUGCGGCUUAUCAGUUAGUUGGUGGGGUAAAGGCCUACCAAGACUAUGACGAGUAGCUGGUGUGAGAGCAUGACCAGCCGCGAUGGAACUGAGACACGGUCCAUACUCCUACGGGAGGCAGCAGUAAGGAAUCUUCCGCAAUGGGCGAAAGCCUGACGGAGCGACACCGCGUGGUGGAUGAAGGCCCAUGGGUCGUAAACACCUUUUCUAUGGGAAGAAGAUCUGACGGUACCAUAGGAAUAAGCCCCGGCUAAUUACGUGCCAGCAGCCGCGGUAAUACGUAAGGGGCAAGCGUUAUCCGGAAUUAUUGGGCGUAAAGCGUCUGCAGGUGGAAGCAUAAGUAGGUUAUUAAAUACCGGAGCUCAACUUCGGUGCCGUAAUCUAAACUGUGUUUCUAGAGGAUGGGAGAGGUAUGCGGAAUUGUGCAAGUAGGGGUAAAAUCCGUAGAUAUGCACAGGAACACCAAAAGCGAAGGCAGCAUACUGGACCAUUCCUGACACUCAGAGACGAAAGCGUAGGUAGCAAAACGGAUUAGAUACCCGUGUAGUCUACGCCGUAAACGAUGCAUGCUCGAUGUAGGCCCCCUCGACCUGG
rnacentral:rRNA from 1 species